GAUGAACGCUGGCGGCGUGCCUAAUACAUGCAAGUCGAGCGAACGGACGAGAAGCUUGCUUCUCUGAUGUUAGCGGCGGACGGGUGAGUAACACGUGGAUAACCUACCUAUAAGACUGGGAUAACUUCGGGAAACCGGAGCUAAUACCGGAUGAUAUUUUGAACCGCAUGGUUCAAAAGUGAAAGACGGUCUUGCUGUCACUUAUAGAUGGAUCCGCGCUGCAUUAGCUAGUUGGUAAGGUAACGGCUUACCAAGGCAACGAUGCAUAGCCGACCUGAGAGGGUGAUCGGCCACACUGGAACUGAGACACGGUCCAGACUCCUACGGGAGGCAGCAGUAGGGAAUCUUCCGCAAUGGUCGAAAGCCUGACGGAGCAACGCCGCGUGAGUGAUGAAGGUCUUCGGAUCGUAAAACUCUGUUAUUAGGGAAGAACAUAUGUGUAAGUAACUGUGCACAUCUUGACGGUACCUAAUCAGAAAGCCACGGCUAACUACGUG
rnacentral:rRNA from 1 species